GGUGCAGGUCUUUGGCUUUGAAGUGAUUUCCACUCUUUCAGUCUCUUUGCUCACAUGGAAUGACAAGUUUUGUUAUUACGUGUGUAAGAAAUUAUUUCACGUGCUUAAAUGUUUUAAUGUCACUGAUGCCUGAAAAAAAGAAACCACCCAGGGACUGUUAAUGUUGGCUGUAUUCUCUUUUGGUAUUCAAAGCGAAGAGGGUUUUGAAUUCAGCUGAAUGGGAACUUCCAUUAACACAAAAUGAAUGCGUUACAGUACUUAUUUGUUUAAGCACCCUGUACUUGCUUCUAAAAGUCCCUACUUCAUGUCUUGGACAAGUGGCUGCUCCACAGAGGUUUCUGUGAAGAUAUCAUAUCAGGUACUUUGUACCCUAGGAUUAUUUUUACUGUUGAAAAUACUCAGAAGCACAAAUAGGAUCUUUGUCAACUACUUGAGUGGCUUUCUGAUAUUAAGGUUUAACUUAAGGUAGUGUUACCAAGGACUCAGAUCAGGAACAGAAUGAAACUAAGGUGUAGCUAGGAGGAUAAAUUGUGGUCUCGGUGAGGAAGGUUUGAAUAAGAUGUAAAUCUUGGUGUAUUCACCCUGGAAAAGGCUUGGAAGCUAGAAGGUAAACAGAUCAUUCUUCUUCCACAUGACUAUUAUGUAGGCUUGUUUGAAAGGCUUUCCCCCUCAACUCUGCUUUUCCUAUUUCAUGAGCCUGCAGCCAAAUUGCAAUAUUUUCACAGUACCUCAUUUAGCAUAGCUGCCUAUGUAUGGGAGGACAAAGCCCAGUAGCAUUUUCAGCAGGAGUUCGGGGCCAGCACGGUGUUUCAUCAAAGAUACUAUUAACAUCUGUUUAUUUGCAGUUCGUGGUUUAAAUCUCAGUGGGAACUCAUCUGCCAAGGGGAAGGGUUUCAAAUAAGGUCAAGUGAGAAAUAUACUCUACUCCACCCCAGGUUGUGGAAGGCAUAUUUUCAUUCCAUCUUUGUUAUUUUUCCUCAAGCUGAAGUACAAAAUCAUCUGGACUGAAAAACACAUGUUGUUUAUUGUGCAUGAGAGAUGGAUACACCAUGUGUGGGAGGUAGCACGGCCAUUUGCCUUCUUUCUCCAAAAUAGUGGUAAUGCCUGCAAAGAAUCCUGCUCUGAAGAGAAAUCAUCUUUGCCUGUAAUUUCACCUGUAUUGGGGGGUUAAUCAUUUCUGCUGAGAUGCAGUUGGUUUUCCCACUAAAGAAGAAACAAAGAAACCUUGUUUAUGGGAUUGACUGAU